AACAAAGUAGUUUAUAAAAAAUUUAUGCUUUGCAUGCAUAGGAUGGGGUUUCUCCUUUGUUA
rnacentral:tRNA from 1 species